GUCUGGGUGAUGUGCUGCAGAUGUGGUCUCUGCUCCCCAAUCCAAACAAGAGUCUAGGCCACCCACCCUUGGCCUUUGGUUCUGUCCUCGGGGAGCUGCAAAUCUGACCCUUGAAAGAAGGGCUAUGUGUGGGGAACAUACAUGUGUGCACCCCAAGGGGGCUGCCCUGAUGGACCCCUUUGCCUACAGGCAUCUGGAUGGGCAUGAUAAAGUCUGCUGCACAGGGCAGUUGUACUGAAUCUCACGGUUGUCAGAUGUGGUGUUUUUGUUCCUGAUGACAUUGUUGGAGCUCUAGGCUGCAUCCCAGCUGUCAGUUUUAGCAUCCAUGUAUUUUCCUGGUAUGCAAAUGUCAACUUUGCAGUUUAUAACUCUGGCCAUUCCUCCAAGCAGGAAAUGACUGAGCCCUUUGGUGAGUGGAAUUUAUUUAGAUUUCUGGUUUCAACGCCUCAGGUUAAAAUUGCUGCCAAUUAAUUCUUCUAAGGUAUGUUUGAACUUCACAAGUGUAUGGAUUGAAUAUCUAUGAUUUUUUUUCUAGGUUGGAGAAAGGAGGAGAGAAGACAAACAUCUUGAGUUUCAACACAAAUGAGAGCCACAAUCCAGUCCAGCAUACUAGUUAAUUAACAAAUGAUUAUUCUCCAAAAUAGUAACAUAGUGCAAAAGGAAUCUUCUUAUUUAAUAAUAAUUAUUGCUUUAUUGACACUUUAGCAUUAAUUCUUUGUUCUCCCCUCUAUAGCCACUCAAAUAUUUCCCCAUGCACAUACAUGUUGAUGUGUGUGAGAUAAUGUGUGUGUUGUACCUAUUGCAGAGUAAAAAGAACGGUAAUUUGAAGUAACUACAGCGCUUGCCAUUGAAAGAGUAGAUAUUUUGCCCUGAUACCUAUGUCACCUGUUAUGACACUAUUAUUUUUAAAACACAGCUAUCAAACAGCUCAUAGUUCGCCACAGAAAUCAAAAUGCACAGUGACAGUCUUUAUCCUACAUGUCUCAUGAUUCAAAUCCUCACGAAAAGUAGAGGCCCCACUGAAGAUCAAGUGCCACCUGUUACUGGGAUGGGGCCAAGUGACCUCUGACCUGACUGUCACUAGGGAGUUUGGGUCACAUCUGUGAUUUCCAUCAACACCCACCACCUUCCAUGCAGAGCCCAGGGCAGAUGUUGGUGAAAUCAGGAAGCUGCUUUCAAAGGACAGAUGAAAGGAACACUGGGAUCAAACAGCUUAGCCCAGUGACUGAUUCUCUACGCACAGUUCUAAGAAAUGACCUGUCCUUGGCCUUUUAAAAUGUUACUUCCAGAAUCUCAACCUGUCAGGCAACUGGAGAGGAGCCACAGCAGGUGAGACCAUGGGAUGUGACCAGGGGGUCUGGACGGCAAAAACAAAGCCACUUCAGCCCCCAGGCUCGAAGCUACAGUAGGGACACUUCCAAGACUGGAGCCUUCGCUAGGAGAACCUGGGGGCUGCUUCUCAGGCAACAGAACUGCAGAAACCAGAAGUGCCCUUGGCAGGAAUGAUUUCAGUUUUAAUGAGAAGGGGAACAGGAGCUUCAAAUGGGGUUUCCCUUUUAGGUUCUACUGUGAACAGGUGUUGGCUUUACUCAAGGAAAAAUUUCACAGGGGUGAUUUCAUGCAUAACCAAGAGCAAUGAUGCUUUGUUGUUUUUGUUUGUUUGCUUACUUUAUAAGAUCAUUCCAGAGGCUUUGUACAUGCAUAUUAAGUGUUUGUGUGUGAGUGUGUGUGUGUCCAGUUGCACAAAGUCACCAAAAAGUCCUGGUAACCAUCUUCAGAGCCCAUUCACUGAUUUUCUUCUCCUUUAUGUUCUGUUUCACAAUCUGGGGAAGUGUGGCGUUCCCCCACUUCAACUCAUACAGUGUCCCUUUCAUUAUGUUAAUUUCUGUCCUUUCCAAGAUUAACAUUUGACCUGCCACCCCACUCAUGUUGGCCAAUGUUCCCAACCAACCAUGUGCCCUGAAUAACGGGAUGAGACAUGAGGACCUUGUCCAUCUUUCCUGAUAGCGUGGCUGUGUCUCUGGGAAUUGUGUGUCAUAACCAACUUGCUGGUCUCCGCCUUCACCAGAGCUUCACAAUAUCCUGUCUUUCCAAGAAUGCCAUCAGGGGGAAGGAAAAGUCAGCUCAGCUGAUUUCACCCAUUUUGCCUCCCCCUCCCCCAACCCACUCCUUGUCUUCCUUCUUUUUCAUCCCGCCCUUCAAUCUGCUGGAUUCUCUAAGAGGCUGCACUGUGUUGUUACGUUGCAGAUGGAUUAACGGACGGAUGAAUGGAUGAAUGGACUGACGGAUGGAGGUAUGGAUGGAUAUUUAUUCUAGGGGUGGGCUUCCCCAGAAGCCCUCUGAGAUAAGAAUUCACACGUAAAUAAGAAACUGGUAAAGGAAUAGAGAAGUGAAGGAAUAGAGAAAAGGGAAGUGAAGGCAACUAUUCAAAGAGAAUAGUCACCUAAGUUACCACUUAGCUAAAUCCCACUGGGGCAUUUGAUGCCCCAGACCAUGAUGAUCUGCCUGGCCACAGGCAGGCAGUGAAGGCAACCGAUCGUGGACUUGAACCCUGGAGACGGAGAGAUCUCAAGCUCAUCUCAGAGCCAUUGAAUCAGAAUGUAAAAUUUUAACAGAAUCCCCAAAUGAUCAAGUUUGUCAAGUACUGGGGUAGAAUGUCUCAGUUACAGAUUAAAGGACAAGAGAACUGUGCUAGGCGUCCAACUCCCCAUUUGACAUUAGUUGUGAGCUAUUUUUGAAGGUUCUGGCUUUUCGACAUGGCCUCUGUGUGGCCAGAGCAUUCAUGCUCCAGUGGCCAGAAAGAAAGUCCCCAAACAGAAAACAAAAGUUUUAGCAAAAAAGCAGCCUUCAGUCUGUAGAGUUACACUAUAAGUCCAGCUGUGUCCCGAUAAGUCAUGAAUCUGAUGUUUAAACUGAGGUUAUAGUGUAAUGGUGAUAACCAAAACCUUAAUACUGAUUGAAUGUUAAAGACACAUCAAAUAGAUGAAAGUAAGCAAGAUUCAAUCUAGGCUUAUAUUCUAAAUAGUCAGUUUACCUUAGCAGAGAAAUACAAUUAUCACAUUCACUUUAGAAGCCUUAAGAUAAAUAUAACAUUACUUUGUAGUUAUUUCAGCCGAUUUCAAGUAGACCAUGAAUGAGGUCAGGAAACAGGUUGCCUUGUUUCCUAGGCUUAUUGUUAGUCCUGGUAUUAGCUCUCGGGAGUGGUGGUAGCUACAUGACUGACAUCUUUCAUUGCCAUCACAAACCAUGCACUACAUUUAUUCUGGAGCACAUUCAAGAGCUGAAAUUAUAAUGGAAAAAAAGACUUGACUCCUAUUAUAAUGUUAAGCACUGGUAAAGACAUUUGGAUAGCAUCCAUAAAAAUCUAUGGCUAUUCCCAGACACAAUAAAGUAACUACACAAGAAAAGCAGUUUCCACCAAGAUGUUAGUUUUUAUAUACUUACAUUUCAAAAGUGUACCAAAGUGUUCUAUAGCAUACAAGGAAAAAUGGGUUUAUUAAAAAGGAAUUCAAGAUGUAUCCAAAGUUUCUAAAUCUGCUUAGAAAAAAAAUCAAAUAGCAAUUUAUUAGAAAUAUCAAAUUAAAAAUAUAAUUUUAAAGAUUUUUAUCCUUAGAUAAUAUGACUGUAGAAAAUGUGACUCCAGAACUUUCACACAUGAUAGAAUGUAUUAAUUUGUGAGCUAAGAUUGUAAAUCCAAUACUUGAACUUUAUUUAAUAUAAUGAAAAGUAAAAAUAAAUGAGCUAAGAUUGUAAGUCCAAUACUUGAACUUUAUUUAAU
rnacentral:lncRNA from 1 species